UAGGGAGGUCAAGGGAGGAGGAUCACAAGUUUGAGGCCAGCCUCAGCAAUUUAGCAAGACCCUGUCUCAAAACAAAUAGGGUUAGGGAUGCAGCUCAGUGGUAAAGCACCCUUGGGCUCAAUUCAAUCCUCGGUAAAACACACACACACACACACACACACAAACGGUAAACAUACUUAUCAUAUGGCCCAUCCAUUCCACUGCUAGGCAACUGUUCUAGUCCAAUAGAAAUCAAACAAUCUAUCUGAGGGCCAUGAGGGGGCACAAAGAGGCAUAGGGAUGGUGGGUGUGUUCAUUAUUUUAUUUGCUCUGCAUCGUGUCACUCUGAGCCAGCUAUCACAGCAUUACCCAAAUGGUGGCAAGCUGCCUCCAACGAAGGUAUGAGGCAUGGACUGCUGUAGUGGACCAGCCGCUGUGGCUGUCCGUGACCACGUUAUUUCACUGGCUAUAAAUGAACUAUGCUGAAAAACCACACCCUUGUUUCAUGUUGUUCUGGUGCGACAUGGAUUCAAGACUCUGAGAAGGACCAACCUAAUUAUUGGAAAUGUUCUCACUGUGCAAAGAGUGUUCUGCACUCCUUCCUCUGUGCUUCCUCCAGCUGUAGCCUCUGCUGCCUCAGUCACCCUAAGUCGCAGCUGCUUUGGCGAGAACCCCCAGUGGGUGGAGAGGGAAGAAACCUCAUCGUGCCAUAUUCAGGGUGAUCUAGUUUUUCUCCUCUGACUCUUUCCUUAGGAAGAAAGGUGAGCAUUCUAACAGGACUAAAUACUUUCUAUUGCUCUGUCUAGAGUAGGAAACAAAAAUUCCUAAUGGGUACCAUAUUUUCCCCCCAAAGCUCUAUUACUUGAUCUGUUACUCAGAUCUCUUUGUGACAAGAGGGAGGAAUCCUAGGGAUAGACUGAGGAUUAACUGGUUUUGAAAGUCCCAAAUAAGCAGUGGAGAGGAAUAAUUUGUGCAUGCUGGUCCUUCUUAGUGUCCUCUGAUGUCUAUGCUGGUAUUGAAGGGGGGUAUUAUGAGUUAAAAUUGUUGUGAUGAUGCCAAGGAGUUCAAAGCCUUGCUGUAGUUCCCUGGUAUCCUUAAGUAGAGAAAUUCGAGGCAAGGAUAUUAUUACUACUACUUAAAAAUUCAACCCAGAGGAUGUAGAUGUGCUGAUGUUGCUGCAAUUUUGUUUCAUCCAGUUAUCAUCAUGAGGAGAGUCAUCACCAAGCACUAUUCCCUUCACAGAGCAAACUGUUGCUAGAUUCACACUAACGAAGGGGUUUUAAUUCUAUUUCUCUUUCCUAUAAGAGAAUAUGAAAUAAUUCCAAGAUACUGAAAAAAUAGUACUUAAUGUGUUUUGACUAUGUAGAGGAAAACACUUAAACAAGGAACAAACUGCAGAUCACAUUUUGAAACCGAAUACUGAUCAUGCCGUGAGUCCAUCUUGGUAAAUCUGCCUUUGUGGAAGAAAAAGCUCUCCCAUUUGGUUGAUAUCUAGGUCAUGGUUCCUAAGAACUGAUACAAUGUUCAAGACACUUGCAACUUUUUUUCCCUGAAGAGGAAUUUUUCAGACAUUUUUGUAGACCCCCACGCAAUUGUCAUGGGCUGUGGGAGAGGAGGUGGUUCCAGGGAGCUUGGUCCCCGCAGCAGCAAAGGCCUGUGUGGAAAGCAGGAGAAUGGUAUGAAAACUCACUUGUUUGUGAAAUAAUCAAAGUAGCGCAGUUUCUCUACUAGUAAAUGUAC
rnacentral:lncRNA from 1 species